UAGGGAUUUCCUAGUGCAUUCUUGAACUU
rnacentral:piRNA from 1 species